UCCCUGGUGGUCCAGUGGUUAAGACUCUGCGUUUCUACUGCAAGGGGUACAGGUUUGAUCCCUGGUCGGGGAA
rnacentral:tRNA from 1 species